CUACCUGCUGUUCUCACUGAAGAAGGAAGCUUGCACUAUCAUCUGGACCAUGUGUACACACUGAGGCAAUGCUCACACUCUCAGCAAAGUCCUUGGUUGCCUCUGGGACAGGAGACCUUCCAGGAGAAUCCAGAAGCCACAGCACAUCUGACACCAGCUGAAAAACAUCUGGAAUGGUUUCGAUAGGAGCAGAGCCAGCUGCCUUUUCAUAUCUCUCUGGAACUGGGAGAUAUUUAUCAGAUAGGAGAAAGUGUUUCCUAGCCUGGAAAUGCAGCUACUCCCAGUUUCUCCCAGUUCAGAUCAGGAGUUCACUGUGGA
rnacentral:lncRNA from 1 species